rnacentral:rRNA from 1 species
ACGUAGGGGGCAAGCGUUGUUCGGAAUUAUUGGGCGUAAAGGGCGCGUAGGCGGUUGACUAAGUUAGAUGUGAAAUCUCUAGGCUCAACCCGGGAAUUGCAUCUGAUACUGGUUAACUUGAGUACAGGAGAGGAAAGCGGAAUUCCAGGUGUAGCGGUGAAAUGCGUAGAUAUCAGGAGGAACACCAGUGGCGAAGGCGGUUUUCUGGUCUAAUACUGACGCUGAAGCGCGAAAGCGUGGGGAGCAAACAG